CCGACGAUGACGGGCAGCCGCGGCGAGUAGGGCCGCACGGCAAUCAGGGUCUUGGCGUUGACCAGCACAUUGUCGGCGUCGUCGGCCGUCAGGUAGGCGCGCAUGCCGUCAUAGAUGCCGCGGCACCCGCCGGCGACGACAAAGCCCGCAUAGGGCACGGAAAAGAUGCGCGAGAUGGUGGGCGACAGGUUGAGCAGCGCGUACAGCGUGGUCAACUUGUCAAAGGCGCCCAGGCCGCCGCCCGACAGUUGCGGCACAAAGAGCGAGGGCACGAGCGGCCCCAGGUCGUGCGUGGCGAUAAACUGCGAAAAGGGCACCAGCAGUUCGGCGGGCACCGGCGAGGGCACCUCGGCGCGGUCGAUCCACGGGUACGAGGCAAUGAUGACCGACAGCCUAUAAUAGGCCGCGAGGAACUCGGGCGUGGGCGGCACCGGCGGCUGGAAGCCAUACGAGACGCCCUGGAGCAGGUUGACGGCAUAGUUGGGCGUCGUGUCCGUGGUAAAGUCGAGCGGGUAGACGCUGCCGGGGCCGGCAAAGCGCUGCACGAUGCCCACGCUGUCUAUCGUCCACGGGCCGAGGCCCACCUCGUUGGCCGCCGUCGUGUUGGCGAAAAACUGCACGCCAAUGUCGAUCCACGAGGGCAUGCCGGGCGCCGGCGCGGCAAAAUCGAUCGUGUCGCACUGGCCGCCGACGCGGUCGGCCGACUCGAUCACCACGACCGAAUGCCCGCGGUCCUUGGCAAAGACCGCCGCCGCCAUGCCCGCGGCGCCACCGCCGAGCACGCACACGUCGCGAUGGCCCGUUGCCAAGCGGAAUGGAGAACCAGCGGCGUCGGCAGACACGGUCAGCAUCAGUAGGAUGGCGACGGCAGCGCCCAGCAGCGUCGUCGUUGUUGCGCCAUUCUUGCGCGACAUGAAUCGAGUAGGGUUGCCUUGAGAUGUCAUAAAGUCCUUGUAGGUCCUUGUUUU
rnacentral:lncRNA from 1 species